UACAGAGGGUGCGAGCGUUGUCCGGAAUCACUGGGCGUAAAGGGCGCGUAGGUGGCGCGACAAGUCGGUGGUGAAAGCUCGACGCUUAACGUCGAGUCGGCCACUGAUACUGUCGGGCUUGAGCACUGUAGAGGCAGGUGGAAUUCCGGGUGUAGCGGUGGAAUGCGUAGAGAUCCGGAAGAACACCGGUGGCGAAGGCGGCCUGCUGGGCAGUUGCUGACACUGAGGCGCGACAGCGUGGGGAGCAAACAGG
rnacentral:rRNA from 1 species